GGGGACGCGGGUGGCAGAAAGUGGAGCUGGGCUGAUGUGCGGGAGCGGCCGGAGUCUGUGGAGCUGGAAAUUCACCGGUCCAGGAAGACGUCUUUCCUGCGUCCCAGCACCUUGGGCCACGCUCCUUGGUGAGAGCGCCCUCUCCAAGGAGGCUGGCCCUGGAUAUUUCACCCAAAAUAUUUAUUUUUUCUUUUUUUCUAGGCUCCUGUUUUCCUAAUAGCAUGAACAGCCCCCCGUCAGCUCCUACCCCUUUGUCUCUGACCUGUUCCUCCUCCAAGGUGACCUCUAUCCUGAAUUUUGAAAACAUAUUAGUAUUGCUUAUUUCUGAACUUUAUGCAGAUGAAGUCAUUGGGUCUCCCUCUGUCACCCAGGGCUGGAGUGCAGUGGCAUAAUCACAGCUAAUUGCAGCCUCAACAUUCCAGGCCCAAGGAUCCUCCCUUUAGCCUCCCAGGUAGCUGGGACCACAGAGUCGGAGUCUCCCUAUGUUUCCCAGGCUGGUCUCGAACUCCUGACCUCAAGUGAUCCUCCCACCUCAGCCUCCCAGAGCGCUGGGAUUGAAGACGUGAGCCACCGCACCUGGCCUGAAUUUUCCUCAGAUUCAAAAAAUCCUGAUGAAGGUUUGGCUAAAAUCUUUGGUGAGUUACCCCCAUCCUUGUGGAACCUCAGGCUGGAUUUGAAGAGUUGCAUGCGUGGUCC
rnacentral:sRNA from 1 species